rnacentral:rRNA from 1 species
ACACAUGCAGUCGAGCGGAACGAUUCUAGCUUGCUAGAAGGCGUCGAGCGGCGGACGGGUGAGUAAUGCAUGGGAAUCUGCCCGAUAGUGGGGGACAACCUGGGGAAACUCAGGCUAAUACCGCAUACGUCCUACGGGAGAAAGCAGGGGAUCUUCGGACCUUGCGCUAUCGGAUGAGCCCAUGUCGGAUUAGCUUGUUGGUGAGGUAACGGCUCACCAAGGCGACGAUCCGUAGCUGGUCUGAGAGGAUGAUCAGCCACACUGGGACUGAGACACGGCCCACACUCCUACGGGAGGCNGCAGUGGGGAAUAUUGGACAAUGGGCGAAAGCCUGAUCCAGCCAUGCCGCGUGUGUGAAGAAGGCCUUCGGGUUGUAAAGCACUUUCNUGCGAGGAAGAACGCUUCGGGAUUAAUACUCCGAGGAAAGACAUCACUCGCAGAANAGCACCGGCUAA